rnacentral:lncRNA from 1 species
AGAUAAGGAUUGGGGAGUACUGGGGAUCGAGUAAGAAAAAUAGUUUCUACCUCUCUCUUUCUCUUUUUUCUGUUCUCUUUGACGAUCUCACCUCACCCUGGUACAAGCCAGUAGAGGCACAUGGGGAGGUGAUGAUUUUUAAGUUUUUUUAAUAGAAAAGCCCAAAGAGUAGGUGUGGGUGUUGUCAGUUGAUUUUGAAAGCAUCUCAUGUGGUCCCAAAAAAUAUGUUGGCUUAUUAUUUUGUUGGUAAAGUUGUGGAUGAUAAGUAGCAUGCAGAUUAGUAUAAUUUUUCAUUUUACAUGGUCUACAGUAU